CGCGAGAGAUGUCGAUUGGCAGAGGCGAGCUUGCAGACUGGCUGAAAGCUUUGAGAGAUUUCGUGGAUCACUAUAUUCCCCACCUUCUAUAUUUUCCCUCUCCUACCACGGAAAAUCGGUGAACACGAAGAAAAGGAGAGAGAGAGAAGAGGAGUAGAUGGUCGAAUAGUGGUAGAUGGUGGAUGGUGGAAUGGAAGUUAUUUUGGUAACUUAGGGAGCCAAGAAUGGGCAGGGAUAGUUUUAACGGCACUGUUUUCUCAUUCUGUAGUGAUUUUAAUAGUGGUAGGAGAUCUGACGAUUGCGCUGACGCGUCAGAGAAGAUAUAAGAGACAAAUUUCCUGAUAUACACCGUACCUUGAAUUCGGAGAGAGAAGCCAUUAAAUCGUCAAGCUCCUUGGUAGCGUUGCUGGCGGUGUGACCAUUGGUAUAACUCUUCUGGACCUCGCUGCGAUUCAACGAUCCGUGCUGUCUAGGAGGAUAACCAUCGUACACGGGUUGCACCUCCGUGGACGUUUCUUGAAUGGUAACUUUCACUCUACCAUCGGGAGGAUAAUCCCUGACGAAGAAGAUCGCGUUAAAAUCAAUUCCAAAGUACCGUGUUCAAAUCGCAAACUUUCGAACUUUAUCUUUUUCUCCUCUUUCUCGUUCGUUCGUGAUUUUUCCAGGAAUAAAAGGGAAACGCUUACCCGUUCGGUACCGCGGUGCUCAAUUCUUCGAGCAACGAAUCGACGGUGGGCCUUGAAGCUGACAUGCUACUCGGAGAACGAAGCAUCGGACUAGAAUCACCAUUCAUUCCUCCCGAGGAAACGCGAUUCUCUACGGUCAUCGAUAUUUCGAUCAUCAUUGUUGCACAGUUUUCGUAAAAUUCUAAUUUAGCGUAUCUGAUCGAAACUGAUGUAAACCAAAGACAUGAAAAUAGGAUGCUGACCUCUUUCCUGAUAGUGAGCAUUGUAACGAGCGUUGCUUAGAUCUUGCAACAACGUGUCCAGCUCCGACAGAUUGUUGUUCAGGGAAGGCAUCUUUCCUCCACCGCUGCCUUUCGCGAUGCUCUCCUCGAUGGCCUCGCGGUUCUGAUAAGUCGGCUGCAACAGCAAUUCGUCGUUCGCUAUCGAUCCUUUUCAAUUUGUUUAUCAUCCAUAUUUAAGUCAUUCAAUUUUUACACAUAAUAUGUCCACUUUUCGACAGAUUUUUCCAGGAUUAUCGCGGAAUAGCAAUUUCUCAUUGAUUGUAAUAUUCGUUUGUCCGAUUGGUCUGAAUUUUUGUGUUAGCAGGCGAAUGAGAAUCAACUAGGAGUUGUGUUAAGUGCGUGCGCGUACGUUUGUUCGUUACUCGAGGCAAAAACAAGGGAAAAAAGUGUCGCGGACAAGAGACAGAUGCCAAGUUGCCGCAAAAGCGGUAUUAUUUCAAAACAUGAUGUCAUUAGAUGCUGCGCGGAAUUUGUAAAUACAUUAUCAAUUAGGUGGUCGCGCGGAGGACAAGGCGUCAUGCACUUUUAAUAGAAAUCUGCUCGCCAAACCGACCAACAUUACUCGUUUGUUGCAAAAUCCUCGAGCAAGAGAGAAGCACCGCGAAUUUGUUCCGGCGAUUCAACGAGCAACGACCAGAACCGAAUCAACUUUGCUCCAACUUGAUCUUCGUCCGAUUAAAUCGCUGAUAAUUAAUCAACUACGUUGGAAGACACGUUUAUCAGAUAACAUUCGGUUAAGAUCGUCUGAUACGUCUUAUUAUUCAUAUCUAAUAUAUUCUUUCGUCUUUCAUCAUCAUGAUGAAGUGAUACGGAACGAUACAUCCUGAUGGUGGAAACUAGGUUGCUCAGUGAGUUGUCGUUCCAAAAAUAUCCAUAGCGAAUCUCCGACGGAAAGAAAAUGUCGCAGUAUAUCCGACAAUCCUGCAGAACCCUGGUCGAAGUUUCUUCGACUGAUCCCUCGAACGUGGAAUCGUAGCCUGCGAAACGCUUUGCUCGUCAAGGCUGGUCGAUCAAAAAAUAAACACGGGCCUAUAAACCGCUACGAUCUACAAUGACACGGGGAACUUCAUAAAUCACCGAUUCACCAAACUUGCGAAAAUAGGCCGAACGCAAACUUUCCUGUGGAGAUUUCCUCCGUGCUUCCCAACUUCGUCUAAUAUUCAUCCAGUAGAAGACGAAGAGGACGUGUUUUAAGAGAGAAGUAUGUAGAAUUAAUUCUAAAAAGAAUGUCGUGGAUGAAAGUUCGUUGCGGUAUAUCUUCCUUAAAUUAAGAAAUUAAUAAAUAGAUGGAGUUCAAUAUUUUUAUUGUUAGUUACUAGACGAAGAGUAGAAAAAUUAUUGUUCGCGGUGAUUACAAAAAUAAUCCCAUUGCGAUGGUACUUCCACAAGAUGCCAAAAAAUGUCCACGUGGUAGUUUUUAAAAGUUACAUAUUUUCAUUCGAGAAUCACGCGUCGUCUGAGAAUCGAUACACUGCGUACCGAUUUUCCAAUGUCAGUCAGUACUCGACAGCUGACAAGAAAUAUUUUAUUUAAGAAGAAUAGAUUCGAAGCUAAAUUGUAUCACUGAAAGAAUCGCGUAUCUUUCGAAAAACAACGAAUCGCGUAUAAUUGGAGAAAACGCUGUAAGUGUCAAGAAACAAGUUUUUCGGGGAAAAAAGGAAGCUUAUGUAUUUUAACGUAGUCAAAAUUCAUUCAAAAAGGGAAUCCGUAGAAAAUCCUGUAUAUGCAAUUUUCUUAGUUGUAAAGAAAAUUCGAUGUUCUAUUCGUUUAGACAGACGGCAUAGAGAAAAGUCAAAAACCAGUUAACUAAAUUUUAUUGGAACUUAUAUAUUUUUCUACAGAAGCAACGUUGCUGCGACACCAUCUUUUACCAUUAUAGUUUACCACCGUCGGUAAACUAUUUAAAAAUGGAAAUUACAUUUAGAUUCUAUACCGCGGUAUUUUCAUUGAUAGGUAGUAUA